UACGUAGGGGGCUAGCGUUGUUCGGAUUUAUUGGGCGUAAAGAGCGUGUAGGCGGCCAGGUAGGUCUGGUGUGAAAACUCGAGGCUUAACCUCGAGAUGUCAUCGGAAACCAUUUGGCUAGAGUCCGGAAGAGGAGAGUGGAAUUCCUGGUGUAGCGGUGAAAUGCGCAGAUAUCAGGAAGAACACCAAUGGCGAAAGCAGCUCUCUGGGACGGUACUGACGCUGAGACGCGAAAGCGUGGGGAGCGAACAGG
rnacentral:rRNA from 1 species